ACUCAAAUGAAUUGACGGGGGCCCGCACAAGCGGCGGAGCAUGUGGCUUAAUUCGAUGCAACGCGAAGAACCUUACCUGGGCUUGACAUGCAGGGAAAUCUGGCAGAGAUGCCAGGUCCGCAAGGGUCCUGCACAGGUGGUGCAUGGUUGUCGUCAGCUCGUGUCGUGAGAUGUUGGGUUAAGUCCCGCAACGAGCGCAACCCUCGUCCUAUGUUGCCAGCGGGUAAUGCCGGGGACUCAUAGGAUACUGCCGGGGUCAACUCGGAGGAAGGUGGGGAUGACGUCAAAUCAUCAUGCCCCUUAUGUCCAGGGCUGCACACAUGCUACAAUGGCCAGUACAAAGGGCUGCGAAACCGCAAGGUAGAGCGAAUCCCAAAAAGCUGGUCUCAGUUCGGAUUGGGGUCUGCAACUCGACCCCAUGAAGUCGGAGUCGCUAGUAAUCGCAGAUCAGCAUUGCUGCGGUGAAUACGUUCCCGGGCCUUGUACACACCGCCCGU
rnacentral:rRNA from 1 species